AUUCAAAUUUCCCAUAUGUCAAAUAUUUCCAUCCAAAUGCAAGGUGACAAAACUUUCUAUUUUGAUUCUCACAUUUUCAUAGUACAAUAACGAUAAGAUUUGGUCCCUCUAUUUUACAUUUGAACUACAUCUUCAAAUGGACUCUCUUAGUUGUACUAUUGAUGUGAACCUUAAGGACUCCGUUUGCUUUCUCUUAACAAUGUGUUAGAGAAAUUACUCUUAUAGGAUUGUGCAGCUUAGGGAUGACAACGGGUAGUGUACUCACGAAAAUUAUCCUACUCGAACCCGAUUAAUAUUCUCAAAACCCGAAACCAUCCUAAACCCGAUUAAAAUUUACUCUAAACUACCUGAACCCGUCCCAAAUCCGAUUAUUAUUAUCCAAAAAAAACCCAAA
rnacentral:misc_RNA from 1 species